AACGAACGCUGGCGGUAGGCUUAACACAUGCAAGUCGAACGAGAUCUUCGGAUCUAGUGGCAGACGGGUGAGGAACACGUGGGAACAUCCCUUUCAGUUCGGAAUAACGUUGGGAAACUAACGCUAAUACCGGAUACGUCCUUCGGGAGAAAGAUUUAUCGCUGAAAGAUUGGCCCGCGUCUGAUUAGCUAGUUGGCGAGGUAAUGGCUCACCAAGGCUACGAUCAGUAGCUGAUCUGAGAGGAUGAUCAGCCACAUUGGGACUGAGACACGGCCCAAGCUCCUACGGGAGGCAGCAGUGGGGAAUAUUGGACAAUGGGCGCAAGCCUGAUCCAGCCAUGCCGCGUGAGUGAUGACGGCCUUCGGGUUGUAAAGCUCUUUUGUCCGGGAAGAUAAUGACUGUACCGGAAGAAUAAGCCCCGGCAAACUUCGUGCCAGCAGCCGCCGUAA
rnacentral:rRNA from 1 species